rnacentral:rRNA from 1 species
UACGGGGGGGGGCAAGCGUUGUUCGGAAUUACUGGGCGUAAAGGGCUCGUAGGCGGCCAACUAAGUCCGACGUGAAAUCCCCAGGCUUAACCUGGGAACUGCGUCGGAUACUGGAUGGCUUGAAUUCGGGAGAGGGAUGCAGAAUUCCAGGUGUAGCGGUGAAAUGCGUAGAUAUCUGGAGGAAUACCGGUGGCGAAGGCGGCCAACUGGACAGAUACUGACGCUGAGACACGAAAGCGUGGGGAGCAAACAGG